rnacentral:RNase_P_RNA from 1 species
GAACUGAGAUGUUCGUAGUGUUCAUGUCAAGUUUAAUAAACUUGAGCCUAGACGACAAGUGCCACAGAGACGAGAAUUGUGAAACGGGUAAACUCCAUGAGCU